GAGUGUAGCUCAGUGAUAGAGCACUUGCCUAACAUGCACAAGGCCCUGGGUUUGAGCCUCAACACCA
rnacentral:tRNA from 1 species